rnacentral:rRNA from 1 species
UCAAAUCAGGUAGGACUACCCGCCCGAACUUAAGCAUAUCAAUAA